GGACCAUUAGCUCAACUGGUAGAGCAUCCGACUCUUAAUCGGAGGGUUGCAGGUUCGAGUCCUGCAUGGUCCACCA
rnacentral:tRNA from 1 species